UACGUAGGUGGCAAGCGUUAUCCGGAUUUAUUGGGCGUAAAGGGAACGCAGGCGGUCUUUUAAGUCUGAUGUGAAAGCCUUCGGCUUAACCGGAGUAGUGCAUUGGAAACUGGUUGACUUGAGCGCAGGAGAGGAGAGUGGAAUUCCAUGUGUAGCGGUGAAAUGCGUAGAUAUAUGGAGGAACACCGGUGGCGAAAGCGGCUCUCUGGCCUGUAACUGACACUGAGGCUCGAAAGCGUGGGGAGCAAACAGG
rnacentral:rRNA from 1 species